CCAACCCCUAAGAGGCAGGUCUUCUCUGCAUGAUAAAAGAGUGAACUGAGACUUGUGAUAUUGGGGACGAUUCCCAAGACUGCUCACAUUCUACCUGAGCUGUCUCGUCUGAAGACCAAGAUCAUAUUUUCUGGGUAAUGGCAGGAAGGAUGCAGAGCCGGAGAACUCUGCAACUCUUGAUCAUUUUCUGCCUCCUCAGCCUCACCAAGCAGUUUGAGGUGAAAGAUGAUGAGUGGGAGGAGAUUGACCCUGAGAUUGCUGCACUGCACCGACUCCGAGAACUGUCUCAACACAUAUCUCAUGAAUGGGUCUUGAACUCUACAACAACCAGGCUGGACACUGACCAAAACCCAAUGAGUUUGCUGAAUGGAUUUCGGGAGUGUGGCAACUUCACAUCUUGUGUCAUUAAAAGGAAGAAG